GAAGAUUUAUCUGAGAAUGUUGAAAAAAAACAAUGAGGAAAAAUUCUUAAUAUUCUUCAAAUAGAAAACAAAGAAGGAUGGAAAAGAUGUCGACAACGAAAAGCUGUUAUAUUUUUCCAAAAUAUGUAAUUCAUCUUUCGAUUCUAUUCUCGAUGGCUUGUGGUGUUUCAAAGAUAAGGGCAAAAAAAGAGGGAAAGGAAGGACACAAUUUCUUCAUAUUCAGACUUUUUAAAACUCGGUCUAUUUUUACGGUUAAUUUUCGCAUUUUCCAAAUGGAAAUUUAACUUGAAAGUAGGGAUCUCCGAGGGCUAUUUAGUUUUGAAAGAAUCUCAUUGAAGCUGG